rnacentral:tRNA from 1 species
AGUAGCUUAAUAAGUAAAGCUUUGGAUUCUUACUCCUGGGAUGUUGAUUUGACCUCUCUCGGAG